UUAGUUAGCUCAGUGGGUAGAGCAUGAGACUCUCAAGGUUGUGGGUUUGAGCCCUAGGCUGCAGGGAAAAA